AGCAGCAGCCACGGUAAUACGUAGGGUGCAAGCGUUAAUCGGAAUUACUGGGAGUAAAGCGUGCGCAGGCGGUUUUGUAAGACAGAGGUGAAAUCCCCGGGCUUAACCUGGGAACUGCCUUUGUGACUGCAAGGCUAGAGUACGGCAGAGGGGGAUGGAAUUCCGCGUGUAGCAGUGAAAUGCGUAGAUAUGCGGAGGAACACCGAUGGCGAAGGCAAUCCCCUGGGCCUGUACUGACGCUCAUGCACGAAAGCGUGGGGAGCAAACAGGAUUAGAUACCCCUGUAGUCCCUGUCUCUUAUAC
rnacentral:rRNA from 1 species